CAGCACCUCAAGUGGUCAGGAUGAUUAGUGGGCCUAAAGCAUCCGAAGCCGGCUCAGUAAGUUUUCGGUUAAAUCUGUACGCUUAACGUACAGGCUGCCGGGAAUACUGCAGAGCUAGGGAGUGGGAGAGGUAGACGGUACUCGGUAGGAAGGGGUAAAAUCCUUUGAUCUAUUGAUGACCACCUGUGGCGAAGGCGGUCUACCAGAACACGUCCGACGGUGAGGGAUGAAAGCUGGGGGAGCAAACCGGAUUAGAUACCCGAGUAGUCC
rnacentral:rRNA from 1 species